CAAUAGCGUAUAUUUAAGUUGUUGCAGUUAAAAAGCUCGUAGUUGGAUUUCGGAUGGGAUUUGCCGGUCCGUCGUUACGAUGUGCACUGGCCAGUCCUAUCUUGUUGUCGGGGACUAGCUCCUUGGAUUCACUUCCUGGGACUAGGAGCUGACGAGGUUACUUUGAGUAAAUUAGAGUGUUCAAAGCAAGCCUACGCUCUGAAUACAUUAGCAUGGAAUAACACGAUAGGACUCUGGCUUAUCUUGUUGGUCUGUGAGACCAGAGUAAUGAUUAAGAGGGACAGUCGGGGACAUUCGUAUUGCAUUGUCAGAGGUGAAAUUCUUGGAUUUAUGAAAGACGAACUUCUGCGAAAGCAUUUGUCAAGGAUGUUUUCAUUAA
rnacentral:rRNA from 1 species